rnacentral:rRNA from 1 species
AUUGAACGCUGGCGGCAUGCCUUACACAUGCAAGUCGAACGGCAGCACGGGUGCUUGCACCUGGUGGCGAGUGGCGAACGGGUGAGUAAUACAUCGGAACAUGUCCUGUAGUGGGGGAUAGCCCGGCGAAAGCCGGAUUAAUACCGCAUACGAUCUACGGAUGAAAGCGGGGGACCUUCGGGCCUCGCGCUAUAGGGUUGGCCGAUGGCUGAUAGCUAGUUGGUGGGGUAAAGGCCUACCAAGGCGACGAUCAGUAGCUGGUCUGAGAGGACGACCAGCCACACUGGAACUGGGACACGGCCCAGACUCCUACGGGAGGCAGCAGUGGGGAAUUUUGGACAAUGGGCGAAAGCCUGAUCCAGCAAUGCCGCGUGUGUGAAGAAGGCCUUCGGGUUGUAAAGCACUUUUGUCCGGAAAGAAAUCCUUGGCCCUAAUACGGUCGGGGGAUGACGGUACCGGAAGAAUAAGCACCGGCUAACUACGUG